UUCCACAUUCACACCAUUCCACAUUCACACUAUUCCACAUUCACAGUGAAUGUGGAAUAGUGUGAAUGUGGAAUGGUGUGAAUGGUGU
rnacentral:pre_miRNA from 1 species